AAGUUUCUCACAGCGACCGGGUAGCUAAAUAUAGCUGCGUGUAAACACUGUUAAUUCUGUAAAACAACAACUGCUAAGUACCUUUCAGUUUUAAGUGGUCUAGCUAAUGCUAAAACCGCUGUUAGCCGACCGGGAGCCGGAUCCUCUUUCCGUCUUGUCAUUGAAAGCUUGAUUCAUAACUUGAAUCCAUGAGAGCAGCGCAUGUUUGAGUAAGGAUGGAUGAAAGUAAGAACGAUCGCGAGACUCCGCCCACAACUCCACCCAAAGCCACGCCCUCUCUUUCAGCGUCCACUGAUCAGCCGACAGGGGGUGGUUUUGUCGUACUGUGCCUUUAAGCCGAGUUCUGCCUGCCCACUUUUUCUACAUGCCUCCUCCCUCAGCUGCGUCAGACAACAGACCGACUUAAAGGAAGAAGGUCUCACGUAGCGUUUGUGAGAUACUACAUGAGUUUGAGCAGCCCAGAGUUGCUGAAGGAGCUGAAACAGCCUCUCACACUCAAACACGUCCAUAAACGCAACGGCUGGACCAAAAUCUUCAGCGGGAAAGGACGACCAAUCAAACAAAACACACUCUGCACUGAUUCGGAGGAUUUAGAGAAUCGAGCUAAACCAGCACAGUGACAAUCAGCAGGCGCGCUCUCAUUGGCAGUUUGAGAUGUCUGUCAGAGCUACGCCCCGCCCCUAUACCAAUGUGGGCGUGUUCUGUCUCUGUGAGCUGCUCUGGUUAUUAUCAGGGUCUUCAUCUGGGAUGUUUCUGUACAAGAUUUAAAAACCAGUGUAACUUUCCCCAUAGCACAACUAAUAUUUGAGUAACGUUGGUUAUCUAAUCAGAAUCAAAGCUGGAGGACUGAGUGUGAAGAAUAUGAACUGGAAAAAUGGCAAGAUGAAUUUACUGAAUUGCAAUUGAAAACUCAGUACCCAGUUGCAUCUUUACCAUGUGAAAACGAAUAAAUCAAAUACAUUUUG
rnacentral:lncRNA from 1 species